rnacentral:rRNA from 1 species
UACGUAGGGUGCAAGCGUUGUCCGGAAUUAUUGGGCGUAAAGAGCUCGUAGGCGGUUUGUUGCGUCGGCUGUGAAAUCCCCGAGGCUCAACCUCGGGUCUGCAGUCGAUACGAGCAAACUAGAGUGUUGCAGGGGAGACUGGAAUUCCUGGUGUAGCGGUGAAAUGCGCAGAUAUCAGGAGGAACACCGGUGGCGAAGGCGGGUCUCUGGGCAACAACUGACGCUGAGGAGCGAAAGCGUGGGGAGCGAACAGG